GUUAUACAACUUUCAACAACGGAUCUUUUGGCUCUCGCAUCGAURAAGAGCGCARCGAAMUGCGAUAACUAAKGUGAAUUGCAGAAUUCAGUGAAUCAUCGAGUCUUUGAACGCACCUUGCGCCCUUUGGUAUUCCAAAGGGCAUGCCUGUUUGAGUGCCAUUAA
rnacentral:rRNA from 1 species